rnacentral:sRNA from 1 species
CUUCAGUACUUUGGUGCUGGCUUUUGGGUUGGCAGCAACCCGAAUCUCUUCUUCAACAGGUAUCUCUGGCGUGAGUACUUAAAUCAGAGGAAGUGACCGUACCUGGGUGAGCAGACUGCGUGGGAACACCGAGAGGAGAUUCCUUCUUGGUGGUGUACACCUUGUCCCCCUUCUCGUUGAUGUAGUACUGGAGAUACAUCUUCGAUC